rnacentral:rRNA from 1 species
UUCCCCUGGGGAGGGGGUGUGGGGGCGGGGCGGGGGCGAGGCCGUGGCCAUAAGGGGGGUGUGGGGGGGAGGUCGCCGCGGCCCCGAACACCCAGGGGGCCGGCAGCGGCGGAGGGGACUCUGGACCCAAACCACGGGCUCUUCCGUGGGUCGCCCCAGCUUUGGCGGGCGCCUGGGUCGCCCCUGGGAUGGAGUGUGGGCAGGUCUCCCCCCGCCAGGACCCCUCUCCCCAACACACACCGUGGCGCCUCACCUCCGCCGGCGCUUAGAGCUGGUGCGGACCAGGGGAACCGACUGUUCAAUUAAAACGACGCAUCGCCAAGGCCCGCGGGGUGUGGACGCGGGGUGACUGCUGCCCAGGGCGCUGCCUGUCCCAGCGGAGACAUUCCGUGUCAGUGGGCAGACGGCGGGGUAACGGGCUCUCCUCAGGUGGCCAAAUGCCUGUCAUCUAGUGAGUGACGCGGUGACUGGAGGAACGAGAUUGCCACUGUCCCUCCUACUGUCCGCGAAGCCACAGCCAAGGGCACGGGCUCGGCGGAAUCGGGGAAAGAAGACCCUGUUGAGCUGGACUCUAGUCUGGCAGGGGAAGAGACAGGAGAGCUGGAGAAUAAGGGGGAGGCCCCUGCGCCCCGCCCUGAGUCCCCCCAGGGCGCGGGGAGGGGGUCCGCCGGCCUUGCGGGCGCCGGUGAAAUGCCACUGCCCUGAUGGCCUCUCCGGGAACAGGGCCAGGCGGGAGUCUGGCUGGGCGGGCAGGGCGCCUGUCACCGGUAGCAGGUGCCCCAAGGCGAGCUCAGGGAGGACAGGACCCCCGGGGAGCAGAGGGCCAAAGCCCGCUGCAUCUCGGUUUUCAGUUCCAAUGCAGACCGUGCAGGCGGCCGCCCGCUCCUGACCUCCUGGGCUUGAAGCAGGCGGUGUCUGGAGAGUUGCCACGGGGUGGCCGGCUGUGGCGGCCAGGGGUGCCUAGCAGGCCGCCUUUUGAUCCUUCGCUGUCGGCUCUUCCUAUCACUGUGAAGCGGAACUCCCCACGCGUGGGAUUGCUCACCCACCAAGAAGGAACGUGAGCUGGGUGGGGAGGUGGUGAGCCGGUUAGCUUUCCCCUGCUGAGGCUGUGCUGUCGCCAUGGAGAUCCUGCUCGGUGCAGAGGCAGCGCAGCUCUGACAGUCGGUGGAGGUGCUUGGCGAGGAGCCCUGGGGCGCGCUAGCAUCUGUGGGGUUACGGCUGGAGCCUCUAAGCCAGAGUCCUCUAAGACUUGGCCUCGGAUAGCGGGUCCCCGCCGUCCCCUCCAGCGGGCCAUCAUGCCCCCGCCCAGCCCAGCGCUGCGUGGGGACCAGGGCCCGGUGU